UUAGAGUUUGAUCUGGCUCAGGAUGAACGCCGGCGGUGUGCCUAAUACAUGCAAGUCGUACGCACUGGCCCAACUGAUUGAUGGUGCUAGCACCGGAUUGACGUUGGAUCACCAGUGAGUGGCGGACGGGUGGGUAACACGUAGGUAACCUGCCCCGGAGCGGGGGAUAACAUUUGGAAACAGAUGCUAAUACCGCAUAACAACAAAAGCCACAUGGCUUUUGUUUGAAAGAUGGCUUUGGCUAUCACUCUGGGAUGGACCUGCGGUGCAUUAGCUAGUUGGUAAGGUAACGGCUUACCAAGGCGAUGAUGCAUAGCCGAGUUGAGAGACUGAUCGGCCACAAUGGAACUGAGACACGGUCCAUACUCCUACGGGAGGCAGCAGUAGGGAAUCUUCCACAAUGGGCGCAAGCCUGAUGGAGCAACACCGCGUGAGUGAAGAAGGGUUUCGGCUCGUAAAGCUCUGUUGUUGGAGAAGAACGUGCGUGAGAGUAACUGUUCACGCAGUGACGGUAUCCAACCAGAAAGUCACGGCUAACUACGUGCCAGCAGCCGCGGUAAUACGUAGGUGGCAAGCGUUAUCCGGAUUUAUUGGGCGUAAAGCGAGCGCAGGCGGUUGCUUAGGUCUGAUGUGAAAGCCUUCGGCUUAACCGAAGAAGUGCAUCGGAAACCGGGCGACUUGAGUGCAGAAGAGGACAGUGGAACUCCAUGUGUAGCGGUGGAAUGCGUAGAUAUAUGGAAGAACACCAGUGGCGAAGGCGGCUGUCUGGUCUGCAACUGACGCUGAGGCUCGAAAGCAUGGGUAGCGAACAGGAUUAGAUACCCUGGUAGUCCAUGCCGUAAACGAUGAGUGCUAGGUGUUGGAGGGUUUCCGCCCUUCAGUGCCGGAGCUAACGCAUUAAGCACUCCGCCUGGGGAGUACGACCGCAAGGUUGAAACUCAAAGGAAUUGACGGGGGCCCGCACAAGCGGUGGAGCAUGUGGUUUAAUUCGAAGCAACGCGAAGAACCUUACCUGGUCUUGACAUCCCGAUGACGAGUGAGCAAAGUCACUUUCCCUUCGGGGCAUUGGAGACAGGUGGUGCAUGGUUGUCGUCAGCUCGUGUCGUGAGAUGUUGGGUUAAGUCCCGCAACGAGCGCAACCCCUAUUUCCAGUAGCCAGCAGGUAGAGCUGGGCACUCUGGAGAGACUGCCCGGGAUAACCGGGAGGAAGGCGGGGAUGACGUCAAAUCAUCAUGCCCCUUAUGAUCAGGGCUACACACGUGCUACAAUGGCGUAAACAAAGGGAAGCGAGACGGUGACGUUGAGCAAAUCCCAAAAAUAACGUCCCAGUUCGGAUUGUAGUCUGCAACUCGACUACAUGAAGCUGGGAUCGCUAGUAAUCGCGAAUCAGAAUGUCGCGGUGAAUACGUUCCCGGGUCUUGUACACACCGCCCGUCA
rnacentral:rRNA from 1 species